AUGUACGGUCACAUUGGAUUUGAAAACGACAUCCUUUCUUCCAUAGAUCCACGCUACCUGAAAGAAGGCCGCCUUCUGAAUCCAACGAUACCAGUUAUGUGCACAUCGGACCUACGCUUCAAAAGAUACGGACAGGUAUUGCUGGAAUGUCCCUUUAAUUUCUGCAGGAGUCCAGUCCUCCUCCCAGAGGCCCCUGGAAACCCCUUCGUUGAGGACCGUCGUCGCGUUCGUCUCCAGGUUUCUCCGAUCUGACAGAAAUAUCAGGAGCACGUCCAUCAUAUAGUUGAAGAAGGCCUGCUGCCUUUCAGUCAGCCUCUCCCGUGCAUCUGAUCUCUCUGGCCAGAAUGGCUCCAGGAUCUCGUCCAGCUCUUCGGACCGUCUCUGCUUCCGUUCAGGAGCACACUCGGCCGAGGAAGCUGGUCUCUUCUGGCCUCCUGAGUGUGCAGGAGCACCGCUGCCCUUUCCUUCCAGCUGCUUUCUCAGCUCCUCUAUCUCUUGGCCUUGCUCUGCUACGCGUGAUUUUAAGGCGCUGAGCUCGGUCUUAAGUGCAGCCAUGUCACUGAUCAUCUGGUGAUCUAGUGAUUCACGGAGGCUUUUGUUACUUUCUUUUAAUUUCUGAAAUUCCUCACUUGCAUACUUUUCCAGGGAAUUCAGCUGACCAAUCAUCGACUCCUCGAAAGGCAAGUCCAGGUCAUCUUCCGAGCUGCUAAUCUCUGUCAUUUUCUUUUCCUGAUAGGAAAGCACAGAACAGAAAAUUAUAAUUGGAAAUAUCAUGUGGAAUCUGUUAGAGGGAACAUCCUUAGGUGCAAAAAUGGUAUUGAAAACAAAGUGUACACAAUGCAUAAAGUGUUUUCUUUGAGUGCUUAGAUUUAGGGUGACGUGUUUUCGACUAGCGGUAGAACAACAACAGAAUGACGCAUGCGUGUGCGUUUGUUCAGCGAUAAUCGAUCACAUAUCGACACAAUCCCUUUAUAAGCCCGUCGUUACUGGUGAAUAAAGGAUAAUAAAUAAGUCCCGUCGUUUCUGUACGGAAAUGUUCUCUGUUGCGCGUGCGUGCUUGUUCUGCAGCAUGUUACAAUGUAACACGGGUCACCCUCGACAGACGCACGCCCGGAAAGUUUAAGAUGCUUGAUCGUCAGCACGGAAAAGGUCGAAAGAAGAAACGCGCCCCAAAUAGAAUAACGAUGCACAUCUGUCAUUGAACCGUUACUUCAUUAUUACAAGUAUUGAUAUUAGUCCUAUUACACCGAUCCACCGUCGCCGAGUUUCAAAAACGAAUGCAUCUUUUGUGGAAUAGCCGUUUCAUUCAAUGCAGAUUUCGAAAAACAAAAGAUGUUUGACUCUUUUCUCUCUCUUUUUUACCUUGAUUCUCGACCGAUCGACGGCGUCACUCCGAAUAGGGCAGAUGAUGCGGCGGAAUCAACAAGUCCACUUUGAGUGACAGCCGGGCUCCCGCUCCUCUGACGAGCGCUCCUGGAGACACGCCCCCAGCGGAAGACGACAGGUAGUUCACCACGGGACCGUAAUGUCUGACAGCCUAAUAUGAAACCCACUACUCUCUCUCUCUCUCUUUCUCUAAUCAAAUUUUUUUUUUUUUUUUUAUUCUGUGGCUCUCACUAGUAGGCAACAUAGUACGAUAGCUUUCAUUUCUUCAGGGUCUCUAGACGAUACAUAAUUUGGG
rnacentral:lncRNA from 1 species